rnacentral:rRNA from 1 species
AGGGCCSCWUAMCRUGCAGUCGAACGAUGAAGCCCASCUUGCUGGGUGGAUUAGUGGCGAACGGGUGAGUAACACGUGAGUAACCUGCCCUUAACUCUGGGAUAAGCCUGGGAAACUGGGUCUAAUACCGGAUAGGAGCGUCCACCGCAUGGUGGGUGUUGGAAAGAUUUAUCGGUUUUGGAUGGACUCGCGGCCUAUCAGCUUGUUGGUGAGGUAAUGGCUCACCAAGGCGACGACGGGUAGCCGGCCUGAGAGGGUGACCGGCCACACUGGGACUGAGACACGGCCCAGACUCCUACGGGAGGCAGCAGUGGGGAAUAUUGCACAAUGGGCGCAAGCCUGAUGCAGCGACGCCGCGUGAGGGAUGACGGCCUUCGGGUUGUAAACCUCUUUCAGUAGGGAAGAAGCGAAAGUGACGGUACCUGCAGAAGAAGCACCGGCUAACUACGUGCCAGCAGCCGCGGUAAUACGUAGGGUGCGAGCGUUAUCCGGAAUUAUUGGGCGUAAAGAGCUCGUAGGCGGUUUGUCGCGUCUGUCGUGAAAGUCCGGGGCUUAACCCCGGAUCUGCGGUGGGUACGGGCAGACUAGAGUGCAGUAGGGGAGACUGGAAUUCCUGGUGUAGCGGUGGAAUGCGCAGAUAUCAGGAGGAACACCGAUGGCGAAGGCAGGUCUCUGGGCUGUAACUGACGCUGAGGAGCGAAAGCAUGGGGAGCGAACAGGAUUAGAUACCCUGGUAGUCCAUGCCGUAAACGUUGGGCACUAGGUGUGGGGACCAUUCCACGGUUUCCGCGCCGCAGCUAACGCAUUAAGUGCCCCGCCUGGGGAGUACGGCCGCAAGGCUAAAACUCAAAGGAAUUGACGGGGCCGCACAAGCGGCGGAGCAUGCGGAUUAUCGAUGCACGCGAGACUACAGGCUUGACAUGUUUCUUCGAUYSCCCGUKAG